UACGUAGGGUGCGAGCGUUGUCCGGAAUUACUGGGCGUAAAGAGCUCGUAGGUGGUUUGUCGCGUUGUCCGUGAAAACUCACAACUCAAUUGUGGGCGUGCGGGCGAUACGGGCAGACUGGAGUACUGCAGGGGAGACUGGAAUUCCUGGUGUAGCGGUGAAAUGCGCAGAUAUCAAGGAGGAACACCGAUGGCGAAGGCAGGUCUCCUGGGCAUUAACUGACGCUGAGGAGCGAAAGCAUGGGGAGCGAACAGG
rnacentral:rRNA from 1 species